rnacentral:rRNA from 1 species
AUUGAACGCUGGCGGCAGGCUUAACACAUGCAAGUCGAGCGAGCGGCGGACGGGGGAGUAAUGUCUGGGAAACUGCCUGAUGGAGGGGGAUAACUACUGGAAACGGUAGCUAAUAACGCAUACCAUCAGAUGUGCCCAGAUGGGAGUAGCUAGUAGGUGGGGUAAUGGCUCACCUCGGCGACGAUCCCUAGCUGGUCUGAGAGGAUGACCAGCCACACUGGAACGGAGACACGGUCCAGACUCCUACGGGAGGCAGCAGUGGGGAAUAUUGCACAAUGGGCGCAAGCCUGAUGCAGCCAUGCCGCGUGUGUGAAGAAGGCCUUCGGGUUGUAAAGCACUUUCAGUGAGGAGGCGUUACUCGCAGCAUCCGCACCGGCUAACGCCGUGCCAGCAGCCGCGGUCCUUC